UCAGUCUAAAAGUUGUAAUAACCAUUUGUAACAACAGGUUGUAUAUUUUGUUAGUGAGAUCGCGUAUUUCGAGGGUGAGUCCGACGACACGACCUGCCACUCGAUUAUUAAAACUGUAUCGCAAAUUUAACUACCCCUCAGUAACUGGUAGUGUCAAAACGAAAUCGCUUGAAAAAAUGUUGGAACUGGCAACUCAAGUUGAUAAAUUAUUGAUUUUGAAAAACAGUUACCAGUAGCCUUGGUAACUACACAAGGAAUGUAAACAAAAACAAGAGAUUCUCACUUAAAACGAAACCACUGAGUGUAGUUGGCCCGCUGGCAGGUAUUAAAUUUAUUAUUUCAGAGAGUUUUGAAUCAUUUUGGCGUAUUUUUUUUAAUUUGUAUCUUUUUUUAAUGAACUGGAACAAUUUCGUCGCUGCCACAGAGAGGAAGGCUUUUACGACGACACGACCAGACACUCCGAAGAAAAAUCGGAAUAAAAAGUGUUCGUGAGCGAUUUACCACCAGUUACCAUAAAUAUAGCGACCCCUUGAAAAUGACAAAAACUAACUAUUCGAGCAACACUGUUUAAGUUGCUAUGAGCUAGUUACCAAGGAGCACCAGAAUAAAUAAACACACAGUUGUGGAAUAAUUCCACAUUUCAUGAUUAUUUAAAAUCAUUUACAAAAAACUGCGCUGAUGCUUGUUCGAUCUCGAAAAAAGAAAUUACGAUGGAUUGGUUAGUAUCUAGUGAAGUUACAAGUCGUCUGGAGCGAGUUAUCAAAAAGUCUACAUUCAAUCGGCUUGGUGGACUAGUAUUAGACCAGGAAGCUCGAGCAUUGGCUUCAUUCCUUACGGGAGCUACAUCCUGGUCCGUUCGCGAUAAGCUUGCCAGAUUGCAACAAAUAGCGACAAUUCUGAAUCUAGAGAGCGUUUCAGAAUUACCUGAGUAUUGGGAUUCGUCUUAAACAACAUGGCGUCUGACACCUAGCGAAGUCCGGAAUUCUUGCGUUAAGGCUGAACUUCAAAAUAGACGACAUAAAAAGUUGAAACUUUAAACGAGAAAUGUAAGUAUUUCUGGGAACGUUAUGAAAGUGAUAAAUGCU